rnacentral:rRNA from 1 species
UAACACGUGGAUAACCUACCUAUAAGACUGGGAUAACUUCGGGAAACCGGAGCUAAUACCGGAUAAUAUAUUGAACCGCAUGGUUCAAUAGUGAAAGACGGUUUUGCUGUCACUUAUAGAUGGAUCCGCGCCGCAUUAGCUAGUUGGUAAGGUAACGGCUUACCAAGGCAACGAUGCGUAGCCGACCUGAGAGGGUGAUCGACCACACUGGAACUGAGGCACGGUCCAG